AAAAUUUAUUUUAUAAAAGUUUAUUUACAGUUAAGUUAUUUUCUUAAUAAGUUUAUUGCCUUAAUCUAUUAUUUACGAAACUGCAGGAUAAAUUUGACUUGGAUUUGAGUGUUCCGCACAUUUCCUAUGCCAUCGACGACAUGAUCAAGGAACAGUUCAAGGAGUACCGCUCCUUAUUACACAAGCGGUACAAGCGGUACAUGAGACACUAGGAGGGCGCACUGUCCGCACCGCCACACGUGACCCAUGACGACUGGCGGAUACUCUGCGAUAGAUUUUUGUCUGAUUCUUUUCAAAAGAGGAGCAAAAUAAAUUCUGACAAUAGGGGAAAGUUGAAGUGAACCACGUAGCUGGUUCAAAGUCAUUUGUACAAUUUCAUCACAACAUGCGAGAUUCCGUCACUGGCCAAGAGCCCGGAUCAGUAGACCUCUAUAGAGGGACUCACUGUCGGCAGGUGACGAGAUCUUGGGUAUAUCCUAGAGCCAGCGAGAUUUGGGCGGCGAUAGACACCUUACGCAGUCAGCCCACUGCCGAUGGUACUCAACGGAGUGAGCUAGAGAUCCUGAGUGAGGUGCUUGGCACCUGUUCUGGA